rnacentral:rRNA from 1 species
GAUGAACGCUGGCGGCGUGCCUAAUACAUGCAAGUCGAGCGAACAGACGAGGAGCUUGCUCCUCUGACGUUAGCGGCGGACGGGUGAGUAACACGUGGAUAACCUACCUAUAAGACUGGGAUAACUUCGGGAAACCGGAGCUAAUACCGGAUAAUAUAUUUAACCGCAUGGUUCAAUAGUGAAAGACGGUUUUGCUGUCACUUAUAGAUGGAUCCGCGCCGCAUUAGCUAGUUGGUAAGGUAACGGCUUACCAAGGCAACGAUGCGUAGCCGACCUGAGAGGGUGAUCGGCCACACUGGAACUGAGACACGGUCCAGACUCCUACGGGAGGCAGAAGUAGGGAAUCUUCCGCAAUGGGCGAAAGCCUGACGGAGAAACGCCGCGUGAGGGAUGAAGGUCUUCGGAUCGUAAAACUCUGUUAUUAGGGAAGAACAAAUGUGUAAGUAACUAUGCACGUCUUGACGGUACCUAAUCAGAAAGCCACGGCUAACUACGUG